GACGAACGCUGGCGGCGUGCUUAACACAUGCAAGUCGAGCGGUAAGGCCCUUUCGGGGGUACACGGAGCGGCGAACGGGUGAGUAACACGUGGGUGACCUGCCCUCAGCUCUGGGAUAAGCCUGGGAAACCGGGGUCUAAUACUGGAUAUGACUCCAUGACGCAUGUUGUGGGGUGGAAAGCCUUGUGCGGCUGAGGAUGGGCCCGCGGCCUAUCAGCUUGUUGGUGGGGUGANGGCCUACCAAGGCGACGACGGGUAGCCGGCCUGAGAGGGCGACCGGCCACACUGGGACUGAGACACGGCCCAGACUCCUACGGGAGGCAGCAGGUGGGGAAUCUUGCGCAAUGGGCGAAAGCCUGACGCAGCGACGCCGCGGUGAGGGAUGAAGGUCUUAGGAUUGUAAAGCUCUUUCGCCCGUGACGAUGAUGACGGUAACGGGAGAAGAA
rnacentral:rRNA from 1 species